UACAGAGGUCUCGAGCGUUAGGCGGAAUCACUGGGCUUAAAGCGCGUGUAGGCGGAUCGUUAAGUACCUUGUGAAAUCCCACGGCUUAACCGUGGAACUGCUGGGUAUACUGGCGGUCUUGAGCCACCUAGGGGCCUGCGGAACAAGCGGUGGAGCGGUGAAAUGCGCAGAUAUCAGGAAGAACACCCGUGGCGAAGGCGGCUCUCUGGGACGGUACUGACGCUGAGACGCGAAAGCGUGGGGAGCGAACAGG
rnacentral:rRNA from 1 species